rnacentral:rRNA from 1 species
GACGAACGCUGGCGGCGUGCUUAACACAUGCAAGUCGAACGGAAAGGCCUCUUUCGGGGGGUACUCGAGUGGCGAACGGGUGAGUAACACGUGAGUAACCUGCCCUUGACUUUGGGAUAACUUCAGGAAACUGGGGCUAAUACCGGAUAGGAGCUCCUGCUGCAUGGUGGGGGUUGGAAAGUUUCGGCGGUUGGGGAUGGACUCGCGGCUUAUCAGCUUGUUGGUGGGGUAGUGGCUUACCAAGGCUUUGACGGGUAGCCGGCCUGAGAGGGUGACCGGCCACAUUGGGACUGAGAGACGGCCCAGACUCCGACGGGAGGCAGCAGGGGGGAAGAUUGCACAAUGGGUGGAAGCCUGAUGCAGCAACGCCGUGUGCGGGAGGACGGCCUUCGGGUUGUAAACCGCUUUCGCUCAUGACGAAGCUUUGUGUGACGGUAGUGGGUAAAGAAGCACCGGCUAACUACGUG